rnacentral:rRNA from 1 species
UACGUAGGGUGCGAGCGUUGUCCGGAUUUAUUGGGCGUAAAGAGCUCGUAGGCGGUUUGUCGCGUCGGCCGUGAAAUCUCCACGCUUAACGUGGAGUGUGCGGUCGAUACGGGCAGACUUGAGUUCGGUAGGGGAGACUGGAAUUCCUGGUGUAGCGGUGAAAUGCGCAGAUAUCAGGAGGAACACCGGUGGCGAAGGCGGGUCUCUGGGCCGAUACUGACGCUGAGGAGCGAAAGCGUGGGGAGCGAACAGG